rnacentral:rRNA from 1 species
AUUGAACGCUGGCGGCAGGCCUAACACAUGCAAGUCGAGCGAGUGGCGGACGGGUGAGUAAUGUAUGGGGAACUGCCUGAUAGAGGGGGAUAACUACUGGAAACGGUGGCUAAUACCGCAUACCAUCGGAUGUACCCAUAUGGGAUUAGCUAGUAGGUGGGGUAACGGCUCACCUAGGCGACGAUCCCUAGCUGGUCUGAGAGGAUGACCAGCCACACUGGAACUGAGACACGGCCCAGACUCCUACGGGAGGCAGCAGUGGGGAAUAUUGCACAAUGGGCGCAAGCCUGAUGCAGCCAUGCCGCGUGUGUGAAGAAGGCCUUAGGGUUGUAAAGCACUUUCAGCGGGGAGGCGUUACCCGCAGAAGAAGCACCGGCUAACUCCGUGCCAGCAGCCGCGGUAAUAC